ACCAUGGAUACUGGUUGGCCAUGGAGGUUAGGACUUUUGCAAUAUUUUGAUAUUAUUUAAUAUUGCACUCGUCCCGGCCUGUAUGUUUCAACUAACUUACA